UACAGAGGGUGCGAGCGUUAAUCGGAAUUACUGGGCGUAAAGCGCGCGUAGGCGGCUUUGCAAGCCGGAUGUGAAAUCCCCGGGCUUAACCUGGGAACUGCAUUCGGGACUGCAUUGCUAGAGUAUGGGAGAGGGAAGUGGAAUUUCAGGUGUAGCGGUGAAAUGCGUAGAUAUCGGAAGGAACAUCAGUGGCGAAAGCGACUUCCUGGACCAGUACCGACGUUCAGGCACGAAAGCGUGGGGAGCAAACAGG
rnacentral:rRNA from 1 species